rnacentral:lncRNA from 1 species
GCAAAAUGAACAACGAACAAGCGAAAACCACCGAAAAUGAAGAUUUGUUGCCAAAAAGAAAAGGAAAGUCAGUUAUCUGGAAUUAUUUCGGUUAAAAGAAGGAUGAUGUCGACCAAAACACGUCUUCUGUGUUCAUCUGUUGCCACAAUAACGUCCCAGCACAAUAAAAGCUAAAAAUAUCUCUGAGACAGACAGAAGCCGUUCUACUAACAUUCACAAAAAGAGGUAAGAUCAGAGCAGAUUAACUGUCCUCAAGAUUUCAGCAGUGCAGCAUAACAUUAAGUGCUAU